GAGAGAGCUGAUGUAUAACCCCCCAUCACUACAGGGCCAGACAAAGGCCACCGGCUUCACAAGCUUCUGGGUGCCACAUGCCUAACCUGAGACAUAUGUCCAGGGGUGAUGCUGUGGUGACCCCUCACUGCAGCGCAGGGGCUCACCCGGCUGCCCUACCCUGCCCUGCUCAUUCACCAGCCAGUGUGGCCUUGGCUCCUUGCCGCAGCAAGAACUCCAGAAUCUCCACCACCAGCAGCAUAAUAAUUCAGUGCUCUUCUUCAUGAGGACAUCUUGCAAAACCAGUGGCUCAGAUCCCAGCUAAGACCCAUAUCUGACCAUGAAGGAGACUUGGGGAGCAAUGCUCCGGGUGUUCCAACAGCCUCAUUUCCCACAGCCAGCCAGUGUGAAGCCCUAACCACAGACACUGGACUAAUUUCAGACAGGAUGAGCAGGGCUGUGUCUCAUAAUUGUGGCUGGAAGGAACCACAGUGAAGGUUCCAUUCAACCCUAACCAUUCUAUGGUUCCAUAUCCAUCUGCCUGUGGGCUCCUUGGCUGGCUGCAGCAGCAGUGGCCUGGGCAGAGCUCUCUGCUCGACAUGCAGGAGUACUUCUGGCUGUGCCUUUCUCCUGUCAUGGGCUGUUUCUCCUCCAGCUCUCGCUGCACUUUGGACAGCAGGUGAAUGUGUUUGGGUGAGUGAGUCAUUGCCCCAGUGCACCCUUUCAUAAUGCACAGACGUCACAGCUCCUAAAGAGGUCAGCAGAUCUGUCACCCAGAAACCUGUCCUGGUGGAUCUGCCAGAGACACUGCAGGUUUUCCUUGGCAGCAAGCCUGGCACCGUUUCUGUGUGGAUUUUAGGAAUGGGAGGUUUGGAGAGUAAAGAGCCUGCUCUGCUCUUCUGAAAGAGCAAGUGCAGGAGUCCUGGAAAGGUCUACAGGAGAGAGAAAGGUGUUGUGGAAGUUGUGUAUCCUUAGAGUCAUUUUAAUGUGAAUGGAUCGCAGGCAGCUCAGUGACUAAAGCUCUGCUGUAACAUUAGCUUUUCGAAGGAAGGGACAGGUUGUAGGAGGAUGCAGCACAGUGUGAGUGCUCUGCAGGCAGCAGGGGCAGAAACAGGGAUUUAUCCUCCAGAAGCACCCUCCACUUGCAAGACUCAAGUUCUCUUUGGUUUUUGGUUUCCUUAUUAUUCAGCACAAAAAUAGAGGAGUCAUUUCAUAGGAACCCUCUGCCUGGCACUCUGCAGGGAUUAGUGGAUCAUAAGCAGGGCUGCAGGAAUCAGCUUGUCUGGGAAAGUCAGGAUUUCUGUUUCCAUUUCUUAGUGGAAUGAAAAAGCAGCUUAAAAUUUUCCAUGGAGAAGACCUCUUGGGAACAGAGGAAAGAUUUCCUUUUGAUCUCUACCUUAGCGAGGCUUGUUUCCCUAAUAGGACUCUUUACAUAACAAAGCCUCUAGAUGCAAGAUGAGAAAAAACAUUGCAAAAAUAAAGGUCCAACCUUUCUGUUCUGAAAUUGUUGA
rnacentral:lncRNA from 14 species